ACAUUCAGUAUACCAGUGGCAUCCAGCGACACCAAAUUGAGUAGCAGAGUGGGAGGGCGUGCUCUCUGUUCUAUCCUCUACUCCAUCUAAAUAUAUCUCCUCUGUCCUCCCUUUUUUUUUUUUUCUAGUCUCUACUCCUCCAAUCCAGAAAAAGGUAAUCAAAAGAUAUAAACAGAAAAGGUAAGCGAAAAUAUUAACAAUACCAACAAAAUUUGAUUUUUCUCCCCAAAUAUCUGAUCUUUUUUUGUAUUAGUACUUGUAGCGCUUUCAGGGUUGUAUUUUGUUUUGAUUUUGAUUUGUUGGUAUAAAAUUUUUGUCUUUUUCUUUUUUUUUUGAAAAAAAAUUGCUGGUUGUUACAUUUUGGUUUUUGUUUCCGUUUCAAUGACCGCGAACGGUGGAUGUGCUUUAUAUCUCCUUUUCUAACCAUUAUCUCAGAAAUCCGCAGUUGGGGUGGUUGAUUCUCGCCGUUUUUUCUUCGGUUUUGGUUGAUUUUAAGUUCCUUUUCGGAACUCAUGAAGAAGAAGAGGAAGAAGAAGAGAGUGAACUUGUCUUGUUUUAGUGUUCUAGGGUCGUGUUGAUGGUAGAAGAAAAUCUAAAGCUCUUAUGUUAAGUCUUCGUUUUUCAUUUGUCGUUCUGCUCAUUUCUUUAGAGCACUUUAUUCCCGUAAUUUUCUUUUUAGUUGUUGAGUUCAUACGAUCAUAUCGGCUAUAUUUGGAGUUUUCUUUACUUUACAUGGUUUCUUUUAUUGAAAACAGAGGUUUUUAUUUUCUCUGGUUGUUUUAAUUGGCUUCAUUGUACUUGGUUUCAAUUCACUUUGUCUGGUUUCAUUUGUUUCUUCUGGAGAUUCUUAGUUUUGUUUUUUCAUUUAUUAAUUCUUACUUGUUAAGGAAAGGUUUUCUAGAAAUGAGUUUCAUUGAAAUGCUGGCGGAAGCAUCCGAGUAAGCUACUAAUAGAACCUGCCGGAUACUUCUAUUACAGAAGAAGUAACAGGAAGCUUAACCAUGGCUGACUUAAACAAGUAGUGAUCUAUACAUUGUAAUUUAGUGUACAAUGUCAAGGCAGGCUCACCUCCCCCCUCGGUGCCCGCCUCAGAACAGGGCUAGUUCUUGCAGCACCCAAGGUACUGUCUCUCAAACUCUACAGGGAAAUGGUGAACUGUACCUUCACCACCAUCGGUUUCAUUCCCAGAGCUCCAUCUUGGAAGAACAACCCUCUUGGCUUGAUGACCUGUUAGGUGAUUCUGACACGAAUUUGAAGGGGAUCAUUCAUCGCCGGUCAGCCAGUGAUUCGUUAACUCUUUUAGAGGCGCCUGCAUCAUUGAAUCUAACUUCCAAUGCUGACAUUAAAAAUACCAUCUCUGAUGAAACUGGUACUGGUAUGGAGGCUGCAUGUAUAUAUGGUCCUAACUCUCCUCGGUGCAGGAGUAAUCUAACCCAUUCAAAAGACUCAAUAGUUUCAGCACUAUCAGAAUAUGUUCCUCAAACACCUUUGCAGCAUUCAUCUAAGAAUCUCUGCAUUCCUGAAACUGCUCAGUCUUAUUUGGAGGGAGGUGCUUGUGGUUUGAACAAUGAGCUUCAUUCUGAGACAAAGGCAGCAAAACGGCACUCAGGACAGCGAUCAAGGGUUCGAAAGCUUCAGUAUAUUGCUGAACUUGAAAGGACUGUUAAUCUUCUUCAGUGUUUGGAGUCUGAUUUGGCUGCUCGAGUUGGUUCUCUACUUCAGAGGCAUGCUAUUUUAUCCAUGGAAAACACCACACUUGAGCAGAAAAUAGCCAUCCUUCAGAAGGAAAAGUUGAUCAUGGAUGGUGAGACUCAUUCUUUGGUGGGUCCUGAUCUGUAUAACAUGCGACACACUGGAAGUUAUAGGCAUUAUACAUCUUCAGUUGGGACCACUUAGGGUGUGUUGGGUUUGUGGUUUGCUUGUGUUCCAGCUGGUUCCAGAAUGAGAAAUCUUGUUUUCUUGCAUUUGGCUAUAUUGUUGGUGGUUCUGGAAGCAGCAACUCAUGAUUUCAAAACCAGUCAAUAUCAAACUCUGAGGAAGGAAGUUGAGAGAUUGAAAGUAUGCUACAUAAAUCAUCUGAAGAGCAAGACUACUGUGUGUCGUCGCACAGGAUCUGCCAUUGAUGCAAUAAUCUCAGACAGUAGUUGGCAGAUGUUAGACAUUGGAAAACUUAGUCUUGGUGRAAACUAGUUGCACUGAAGCAUGGUUUCAGAUGGUAAUUUGGCUUUGAAGAUAUCGGACCUCGAUCAAUUUCUCCCUCGUCUGAGGAAUUAAGCAGAAGUUUUACUAAUUUUCAGGUAGCUAGCUAUCUAUGUUAUCAUGCAACUAUUGCCUGUAAAUAAUCUCCUACUUGGUAUUCCACGAACUAGGAAUCAAUGCUUGGACCUCUGCAUUGUACAAGAAUGCAAGUAAGCAAGUAUUUUUCCUUGCUAAAAGCCUGGUUAAUUAUAUACGUACAUAUGCUUAUGAAACAGACAAUGAGAUGCUCGUCACAAGCAUGCAUGCACCUACAGUGAUGUUAAUACAGUUUUGAGUUAAUUA